CCUACGGGGGGCAGCAGUGAGGAAUAUUGGUCAAUGGACGGAAGUCUGAACCAGCCAUGCCGCGUGCAGGAAGACGGCUCUAUGAGUUGUAAACUGCUUUUGUACAAGGGUAAACCUGAAUACGUGUAGUCAGCUGAAAGUACUGUACGAAUAAGGAUCGGCUAACUCCGUGCCAGCAGCCGCGGUAAUACGGAGGAUCCGAGCGUUAUCCGGAUUUAUUGGGUUUAAAGGGUGCGUAGGCGGAUUGAUAAGUUAGAGGUGAAAUGUCCGAGCUUAACUCGGGACCUGCCGCGAGUACUGGUGAUCUAGAGAGUAGAUGCGGUAGGCGGAAUGCAUGGUGUAGCGGUGAAAUGCUUAGAGAUCAUACAGAACACCGAUUGCGAAGGCAGCUUACUAAACUAUAACUGACACUGAAGCACGAAAGCGUGGGGAUCAAACAGGAUUAGAUACCCCAGUAGUC
rnacentral:rRNA from 1 species